rnacentral:lncRNA from 1 species
GGACCAAGAGUUGAGCCCAAAUCAUAAUCCAAUGCUAGUUGGCCCAAAAGUUGGACCAGGAACACAAGCACACCCUAGAUGGGCCAAGGGUCUAUAAAAUUAAACAUCAUAAUUCAUUUGUGACAUAUGUAUGAAUGAUAUCAUAAUUAGAAUAACAUAAGUAGUUUAAUUUUAUGCUUUAUAUAAAUAUUAUCGAUUGCAUGAUGGAUGGUUAUCGACUAAAAGGACCCAUAUGAUGAAUG